rnacentral:sRNA from 1 species
UAAGUCGGGAGCCCCACGCGACGUGCU